rnacentral:pre_miRNA from 9 species
UCUCGAUAACGUGAAAGUUAACUCAAAUUUGUAUGGAGUUGGAAUGUUUGCCUAAGUUUGUCGCUAGAAGUGCUGUUCCAACUGCAUACGUUUUAUGCAUAACUUUUACGUUAUCAA